rnacentral:rRNA from 1 species
UACAGAGGUGGCAAGCGUUGUUCGGAAUUACUGGGCGUAAAGGGCGCGUAGGCGGUUCGUCAAGUCCUGUGUGAAAUCCCCCGGCUCAACUGGGGAACUGCACAGGAAACUAGCGGGCUUGAGUUCGGGAGAGGGGAGCGGAAUUCCGGGUGUAGCGGUGAAAUGCGUAGAUAUCCGGAGGAACACCGGUGGCGAAGGCGGCUUCCUGGACCGACACUGACGCUGAGGCGCGAAAGCUAGGGGAGCAAACGGG